GGCCCCAUCGUCUAGUGGUUAGGACAUCACUCUUUCAAGGUGGAGACACGGGUUCGAGUCCCGUUGGGGCCACCA
rnacentral:tRNA from 1 species